UAUCCUGUCUGAAUAUGGGGGGACCAUCCUCCAAGGCUAAAUACUCCUGACUGACCGAUAGUGAACCAGUACCGUGAGGGAAAGGCGAAAAGAACCCCGGCGAGGGGAGUGAAAAAGAACCUGAAACCGUGUACGUACAAGCAGUGGGAGCACAGAGCAAUCUGUGUGACUGCGUACCUUUUGUAUAAUGGGUCAGCGACUUAUAUUCUGUAGCAAGGUUAACCGAAUAGGGGAGCCGAAGGGAAACCGAGUCUUAACUGGGCGUUAAGUUGCAGGGUAUAGACCCGAAACCCGGUGAUCUAGCCAUGGGCAGGUUGAAGGUUGGGUAACACUAACUGGAGGACCGAACCGACUAAUGUUGAAAAAUUAGCGGAUGACUUGUGGCUGGGGGUGAAAGGCCAAUCAAACCGGGAGAUAGCUGGUUCUCCCCGAAAGCUAUUUAGGUAGCGCCUCGUGAAUUCAUCUCCGGGGGUAGAGCACUGUUUCGGCAAGGGGGUCAUCCCGACUUACCAACCCGAUGCAAACUGCGAAUACCGGAGAAUGUUAUCACGGGAGACACACGGCGGGUGCUAACGUCCGUCGUGAAGAGGGAAACAACCCAGACCGCCAGCUAAGGUCCCAAAGUCAUGGUUAAGUGGGAAACGAUGUGGGAAGGCCCAGACAGCCAGGAUGUUGGCUUAGAAGCAGCCAUCAUUUAAAGAAAGCGUAAUAGCUCACUGGUCGAGUCGGCCUGCGCGGAAGAUGUAACGGGGCUAAACCAUGCACCGAAGCUGCGGCAGCGACGCUUAUGCGUUGUUGGGUAGGGGAGCGUUCUGUAAGCCUGCGAAGGUGUGCUGUGAGGCAUGCUGGAGGUAUCAGAAGUGCGAAUGCUGACAUAAGUAACGAUAAAGCGGGUGAAAAGCCCGCUCGCCGGAAGACCAAGGGUUCCUGUCCAACGUUAAUCGGGGCAGGGUGAGUCGACCCCUAAGGCGAGGCCGAAAGGCGUAGUCGAUGGGAAACAGGUUAAUAUUCCUGUACUUGGUGUUACUGCGAAGGGGGGACGGAGAAGGCUAUGUUGGCCGGGCGACGGUUGUCCCGGUUUAAGCGUGUAGGCUGGUUUUCCAGGCAAAUCCGGAAAAUCAAGGCUGAGGCGUGAUGACGAGGCACUACGGUGCUGAAGCAACAAAUGCCCUGCUUCCAGGAAAAGCCUCUAAGCAUCAGGUAACAUCAAAUCGUACCCCAAACCGACACAGGUGGUCAGGUAGAGAAUACCAAGGCGCUUGAGAGAACUCGGGUGAAGGAACUAGGCAAAAUGGUGCCGUAACUUCGGGAGAAGGCACGCUGAUAUGUAGGUGAAGUCCCUCGCGGAUGGAGCUGAAAUCAGUCGAAGAUACCAGCUGGCUGCAACUGUUUAUUAAAAACACAGCACUGUGCAAACACGAAAGUGGACGUAUACGGUGUGACGCCUGCCCGGUGCCGGAAGGUUAAUUGAUGGGGUCAGCGCAAGCGAAGCUCUUGAUCGAAGCCCCGGUAAACGGCGGCCGUAACUAUAACGGUCCUAAGGUAGCGAAAUUCCUUGUCGGGUAAGUUCCGACCUGCACGAAUGGCGUAAUGAUGGCCAGGCUGUCUCCACCCGAGACUCAGUGAAAUUGAACUCGCUGUGAAGAUGCAGUGUACCCGCGGCAAGACGGAAAGACCCCGUGAACCUUUACUAUAGCUUGACACUGAACAUUGAGCCUUGAUGUGUAGGAUAGGUGGGAGGCUUUGAAGUGUGGACGCCAGUCUGCAUGGAGCCGACCUUGAAAUACCACCCUUUAAUGUUUGAUGUUCUAACGUUGACCCGUGAUCCGGGUUGCGGACAGUGUCUGGUGGGUAGUUUGACUGGGGCGGUCUCCUCCUAAAGAGUAACGGAGGAGCACGAAGGUUGGCUAAUCCUGGUCGGACAUCAGGAGGUUAGUGCAAUGGCAUAAGCCAGCUUGACUGCGAGCGUGACGGCGCGAGCAGGUGCGAAAGCAGGUCAUAGUGAUCCGGUGGUUCUGAAUGGAAGGGCCAUCGCUCAACGGAUAAAAGGUACUCCGGGGAUAACAGGCUGAUACCGCCCAAGAGUUCAUAUCGACGGCGGUGUUUGGCACCUCGAUGUCGGCUCAUCACAUCCUGGGGCUGAAGUAGGUCCCAAGGGUAUGGCUGUUCGCCAUUUAAAGUGGUACGCGAGCUGGGUUUAGAACGUCGUGAGACAGUUCGGUCCCUAUCUGCCGUGGGCGCUGGAGAACUGAGGGGGGCUGCUCCUAGUACGAGAGGACCGGAGUGGACGCAUCACUGGUGUUCGGGUUGUCAUGCCAAUGGCACUGCCCGGUAGCUAAAUGCGGAAGAGAUAAGUGCUGAAAGCAUCUAAGCACGAAACUUGCCCCGAGAUGAGUUCUCCCUGACCCUUUAAGGGUCCUGAAGGAACGUUGAAGACGACGACGUUGAUAGGCCGGGUGUGUAAGCGCAGCGAUGCGUUGAGCUAACCGGUACUAAUGAACCGUGAGGCUUAACCUU
rnacentral:rRNA from 2 species